UACGUAGGCAGCGAGCGUUGUUCGGAAUUACUGGGCGUAAAGAGUGUGUAGGCGGUGCUCCCAGUCUGUUGUGAAAUCUCCCGGCUUAACUGGGAGGGUGCAGCGGAAACUAGAGUGCUAGAGGGUGGGAGAGGUAAGCGGAAUUCCUGGUGUAGCGGUGAAAUGCGUAGAUAUCAGGAGGAACACCUGUGGUGUAGACAGCUUACUGGACCACUUCUGGCGCUGAGACACGAAAGCGUGGGUAGCAAACAGG
rnacentral:rRNA from 1 species